UACGAGGGGGGCGAGCGUUGUUCGGAAUUAUUGGGCGUAAAGGGUGCGUAGGCGGUUUGGUAAGUCUUGUGUGAAAUCUCUGGGCUCAACUCAGAGUCUGCACGAGAAACUGCCGGGCUUGAGUGUGGGAGAGGUGAGUGGAAUUCCUGGUGUAGCGGUGAAAUGCGUAGAUAUCAGGAGGAACACCAGCGGCGAAGGCGGCGCUCUGGGCCGGAACUGACGCUGAGGAGCGAAAGCGUGGGUAGCAAACAGG
rnacentral:rRNA from 1 species